GCAUAUCAAUAAGCGGAGGAAAAGAAACCAACAGGGAUUGCCCCAGUAACGGCGAGUGAAGCGGCAACAGCUCAAAUUUGAAAUCUGGCCUUGGCCCGAGUUGUAAUUUGCAGAGGAUGCUUCUGGCGCGGUGCCUUCCGAGUUCCCUGGAACGGGACGCCAUAGAGGGUGAGAGCCCCGUAUGGUUGGAUACCUAGCCUGUGUGAAGCUCCUUCGACGAGUCGAGUAGUUUGGGAAUGCUGCUCAAAAUGGGAGGUAUAUCUCUUCUAAAGCUAAAUACCGGCCAGAGACCGAUAGCGCACAAGUAGAGUGAUCGAAAGAUGAAAAGCACCUUGAAAAGGGGGUUAAACAGCACGUGAAAUUGUUGAAAGGGAAGCGCCUAUGACCAGACUUGUGCCCGGCGGAUCACCCAGCGUUCUCGCUGGGGCACUCCGCCGGGUCCAGGCCAGCAUCGGUUUUCGCCGGGGGAUAAAGGCUCUGGGAACGUAGCUCCUCCGGGAGUGUUAUAGCCCUCUGCGUAAUACCCUGGCGGGGACCGAGGUACGCGCUCCGCAAGGAUGCUGGCGUAAUGGUCAUCAGCGACCCGUCUUGAAACACGGAUCAAGGAGUCGUCCAUUAGAGCGAGCGUUUGGGUGUUAAACCCGCACGCGUAAUGAAAGUGAACGUAGGUGAGAGCUUCGGCGCAUCAUCGACCGAUCCUGAUGUCCUCGGAUGGAUUUGAGUAUGAGUUUUACUGGACGGACCCGAAAGAUGGUGAACUAUGCCUGUAUAGGGUGAAGCCAGAGGAAACUCUGGUGGAGGCUCGCAGCGGUUCUGACGUGCAAAUCGAUCGUCAAAUAUGGGCAUGGGGGCGAAAGACUAAUCGAACCAUCUAGUAGCUGGUUACCGCCGAAGUUCCCCUC
rnacentral:rRNA from 1 species